GAGCAAUGACGAUUCUUGUCACGAGUCGUAUCAUCGAAGCGCAUAGUUUUUGGCUGUCGUUUAGAGCUGAAAAUGUUUCGACGGCGUGAUCGAUUGACUAAUCUUCUCUCUGAGCU
rnacentral:snoRNA from 15 species